GUUUCCAUAGUGUAGUGGAUUACGUUCGCCUCACACGCGAAAGGUCCCCAGUUCGAAACUGGGUGGAAACA